rnacentral:rRNA from 1 species
CCUACGGGAGGCAGCAGUGGGGAAUAUUGGGCAAUGGGCGCAAGCCUUACCCAGCAAUACAGCGUGAGUGAAGAAGGUCUUCGGAUUGUAAAGCUCUUUGAACAGGGGCGAACAGAUGACGGUACCUGAAGAACAAGCCCCGGCUAACUAAGUGCCAGCCGCCGCCGUAAAACGAAGGGGGCGAGCGUUGUCCGGAAUGACUGGGCGUAAAGGGUGCGUAGGCUGGAUAAUAAGUUAGAAGGGAAAGACCAAGAGCUUAACUCGGGUGCUGCUUCUAAGACUGUUGGGCUUGAGUGCGGGAGAGGUUAGUGGAAUUCCUGGUGUAGCGGUGGAAUGCGUAGAUAUUAGGAGGAACACCAGAGGCGAAGGCGAUUAACUGGACCGUAACUGACGCUGAGGCACGAAAGUGUGGGUAGCAAACAGGAUUAGAUACCCGGGUAGUC